GACGAACGCUGGCGGCGUGCUUAACACAUGCAAGUCGAACGGAAAGGCCCUGCUUUUGUGGGGUGCUCGAGUGGCGAACGGGUGAGUAACACGUGAGUAACCUGCCCUUGACUUUGGGAUAACUUCAGGAAACUGGGGCUAAUACCGGAUAGGAGCUCCUGCUGCAUGGUGGGGGUUGGAAAGUUUCGGCGGUUGGGGAUGGACUCGCGGCUUAUCAACUUGUUGGUGGGGUAGUGGCUUACCAAGGCUUUGACGGGUAGCCGGCCUGAGAGGGUGACCGGCCACAUUGGGACUGAGAUACGGCCCAGACUCCUACGGGAGGCAGCAGGGGGGAAUAUUGCACAAUGGGCGGAAGCCUGAUGCAGCAACGCCGCGUGCGGGAUGACGGCCUUCGGGUUGUAAACCGCUUUCGCCUGUGACGAAGCGUGAGUGACGGUAAUGGGUAAAGAAGCACCGGCUAACUACGUG
rnacentral:rRNA from 1 species